rnacentral:tRNA from 1 species
AGCUUUGUAGCCUAAGUUAAGGCUUUUACCUUUUAAGUAAACUAUAAUUUUUCUAAGCUA